rnacentral:rRNA from 1 species
AUUGACGUCGUGGCGGCAGGCCUAACACAUGCAAGUGCGAGACGGUUAACAGAAAGUAGACUUGCUACUUUGCUGACGAGACGGCGGACGGGUGAGUGAAUGCUUGGGAACAUGGCCUUUAGGUGGGGGACAACAGUUGGAAACGAACUGCUAAUACCGCAUGAUGUCUACGGACCAAAGGGGGCUUCGGCUCUCGCCUAAAGAUUGGCCCAAGUGGGAUUAGCUAGUUGGUGAGGUAAUGGCUCACCAAGGCAACGAUCCCUAGCUGGUUUGAGAGGAUGAUCAGCCACACUGGAACUGAGACACGGUCCAGACUACUACGGGAGGCAGCAGUGGGGAAUAUUGCACAAUGGGCGCAAGCCUGAUGCAGCCAUGCCGCGUGUGUGAAGAAGGCCUUCGGGUGGUAAAGCACUUUCAGUCAGGAGGAAAGGUUAGUAGUUAAUACCUGCUAGCUGUGACGUCACUGACAGAAGAAGCACCGGCUAACUCCGUGCCAGCAGCCGCGGUAAUACGGAGGGUGCGAGCGUUAAUCGGAAUUACUGGGCGUAAAGCGUACGCAGGCGGUUUGUUAAGCGAGAUGUGAAAGCCCCGGGCUCAACCUGGGAACUGCAUUUCGAACUGGCAAACUAGAGUGUGAUAGAGGGUGGUAGAAUUUCAGGUGUAGCGGUGAAAUGCGUAGAGAUCUGAAGGAAUACCGAUGGCGAAGGCAGCCACCCUGGGUCAACACUGACGCUCAUGUACGAAAGCGUGGGGAGCAAACAGGAUUAGAUACCCUNGUAGUNACGCCGUAACGAUGUCACUAGAAGCUCGCUCUUCGGAGUUGUUUUCAAAGCUACGCAUUAAGUGAACGCC